GCGAAAACUUUACAAUGCUGGCAACAGCGAUAAGGGAACCUCGAGUGCCAGGUUACAAAUCUGGCUGUCGUGAUGCCUAAAAAGCAUUGCAUAGCAAGGGCCGGGCAAGACCGGUGCCAGCCGCCGCGGUAACACCAGCGGCUCGAGUGGUAACCGUUAUUAUUGGGUCUAAAGGGUCUGUAGCCGGCCGGAUAAGUCUCUUGGGAAAUCUGGCAGCUUAACUGUCAGGCUUCCAGGAGAUACUGUCUGGCUCGAGGCCGGGAGAGGUGAGAGGUACUUCAGGGGUAGGGGUGAAAUCUUGUAAUCCUUGAAGGACCACCAGUGGCGAAGGCGUCUCACCAGAACGGACCUGACGGCAAGGGACGAAAGCUAGGGGCACGAACC
rnacentral:rRNA from 1 species